UGCCAGGCGAGAGGAGAGGAGAGGAAAGGAGCCGCCAGCGGCUCGGGCAGCGCGCUGCGUCUGGGUCUCCGGGGAUGGACUGGGCUUCGCCCUGCGCCUCAGCCUGCCCGCGGAGAGGAGGGCGGUGAUCGGCCGCCCAGCCCACCAGGGAGGAGAGGCACCCCCGCCUGCGCCGAGGGACCGGCACGACCCUGCUGACGCCCGGUUAAAUGUCACGGCUCGCCGUCCGCUCCCCGCCGCCGCCCCGCGCAUCGCUCACCUCGGGAAGGGGCUGUGAAGGUGGCGGCAGAGGCAGCCUCGGCUGCGGCGCGCCCCGCCGCCGCUCGCCGUGAGGGAGCGCCCAGGCAGCCGCCAGUAAGUGAGCAGUGGAGCUAGAAAACUUGGCAGAACUCUUUGUCUUUCCUGCUUGUAUCUGUGGAAACUGGUUUGCAAGAUUGAUAUGAAGAUAAACAGUCUGGAUGAGGGAAGUAGUGGAGGACUUUCACCACAAGUGUGAAAAAUGAGCAUUCCCAACCUAGUGCAGUGAUCGUCUCUAGGACUUGAAUGCACUAAGUCGUAAGGUAUGUUAUUUAUAAUUUCUAUGAUAAAAUAAACAGAUUUGAAUAUGUCUUCUAUUAUUGUUCGUAGUUAUGUUGAAGACAGUUAAACAUUGAAUUGUUUUAGUCUUAUGUUUACAAAUGUUAGGAAUCUUUUUCUCUACAUGGAAAAGGUGAGAUGUAUGUAAAUUUUGUUCUUUUGGUUGGUAAGUAGGUCACAGAUCAUAUAUAUGUCAUUAUUCUUAAAUGGAUGGAACAGCUUUAGCUAAUUCAUGGACUGAUAAGUCUUGUCCUA